rnacentral:rRNA from 1 species
UACGGAGGGGGCUAGCGUUGUUCGGAAUUACUGGGCGUAAAGCGCGCGUGGGCGGCUUUGUAAGUUAGAGGUGAAAGCCCCAGGGCUCAACCCUGGAAUUGCCUUUAAGACUGCAUCGCUUGAAUUGUGGAGAGGUAAGUGGAAUUCCGAGUGUAGAGGUGAAAUUCGUAGAUAUUCGCAAGAACACCGGUGGCGAAGGCGGCCAACUGGACCAUUACUGACGCUGAGGCGCGAAAGCGUGGGAGC